UGGGGAAUAUUGCACAAUGGGCGCAAGCCUGAUGCAGCGACGCCGCGUGAGGGAUGACGGCCUUCGGGUUGUAAACCUCUUUCAGUAGGGAACAAGGCCUUCGGGUUGAGGGUACCUGCAGAARAAGCGCCGGCUAACUACGUGCCAGCAGCCGCGGUAAUACGUAGGGCGCAAGCGUUGUCCGGAAUUAUUGGGCGUAAAGAGCUCGUAGGCGGUUUGUCGCGUCUGCUGUGAAAACGCGAGGCUUAACCUCGCGCCUGCAGUGGGUACGGGCAGACUAGAGUGCGGUAGGGGAGACUGGAAUUCCUGGUGUAGCGGUGGAAUGCGCAGAUAUCAGGAGGAACACCGGUGGCGAAGGCGGGUCUCUGGGCCGUUACUGACGCUGAGGAGCGAAAGCAUGGGGAGCGAACAGGAUUAGAUACCCUGGUAGUCCAUGCCGUAAACGUUGGGCACUAGGUGUGGGGCCCAUUCCACGGGUUCCGCGCCGCAGCUAACGCAUUAAGUGCCCCGCCUGGGGAGWACGGCCGCAAGGCUA
rnacentral:rRNA from 1 species